GAUGAACGCUGGCGGCGUGCCUAAUACAUGCAAGUCGAGCGAACAGACGAGGCGCUUGCUCCUCUGACGUUAGCGGCGGACGGGUGAGUAACACGUGGAUAACCUACCUAUAAGACUGGGAUCACUUCGGGACACCGGAGAUAAUACCGGAUAAUCUCUUGAACCGCAUGGUUCAUUAGUGAAAGUCGGUUUUGCUGUCACUUAUAGAUGGAUCUGAGCCGCAUUAGCUAGUUGGUAGGGUCACGGGUUACCAAGGCAACGAUGCGUAGCCGACCUGAGUGGGUGAUCGCCCACACUGGAACGGAGACGCGGCCCAGGGGCCUACGGGAGGCACCAGUAGGGUACCUGACGCAAUAGGGGAAAACCUGGCGGAGCAGGGCGACGUCAGAUAGAAAGGUCCCGGGAGCGGAAAGCUCGGUUAUGAGUUGAAAACAGAUGUGUAAUGUACUGUGCACGUCUUGACGGUACCUAGUCAAAAAGCCACGGCUAACUACGUG
rnacentral:rRNA from 1 species